rnacentral:rRNA from 1 species
UACGGGGGGGCAAGCGUUGUUCGGAAUUACUGGGCGUAAAGGGCUCGUAGGCGGCCAACUAAGUCAUACGUGAAAUCCCUCAGCUUAACUGGGGAACUGCGUGUGAUACUGGAUGGCUUGGAUUUGGGAGAGGGAUGCGGAAUUCCAGGUGUAGCGGUGAAAUGCGUAGAUAUCUGGAGGAACACCGGUGGCGAAGGCGGCAUCCUGGACCAAUAUUGACGCUGAGGAGCGAAAGCCAGGGGAGCAAACGGG